rnacentral:miRNA from 1 species
AAGAUGACGUAAAAGGAAGAGAAUUAGAAAGUAAUUGGGGAUUUGGAAGGAAAAACAGUGGAUUUUGAUCUCGUAAAAUCCGCUAUUUUCCCUUCCAAAUCUCCAAUUACUUUCUAAUUCUCCUCCUUUUACGGCAUCUCU